rnacentral:rRNA from 1 species
GAUGAACGCUGGCGGCGUGCCUAAUACAUGCAAGUCGAGCGAAUGGAUUAAGAGCUUGCUCUUAUGAAGUUAGCGGCGGACGGGUGAGUAACACGUGGGUAACCUGCCCAUAAGACUGGGAUAACUCCGGGAAACCGGGGCUAAUACCGGAUAACAUUUUGAACCGCAUGGUUCGAAAUUGAAAGGCGGCUUCGGCUGUCACUUAUGGAUGGACCCGCGUCGCAUUAGCUAGUUGGUGAGGUAACGGCUCACCAAGGCAACGAUGCGUAGCCGACCUGAGAGGGGGAUCGGCCACACUGGGACGGAGACCCGGCCCAGACUCCUACGGGAGGCAGCAGUAGGGAAUCUUCCGCAAUGGACGAAAGUCUGACGGAGCAACGCCGCGUGAGUGAUGAAGGCUUUCGGGUCGUAAAACUCUGUUGUUAGGGAAGAACAAGUGCUAGUUGAAUAAGCUGGCACCUUGACGGUACCUAACCAGAAAGCCACGGCUAACUACGUGCCAGCAGCCGCCGUAA